rnacentral:rRNA from 1 species
AUUGAACGCUGGCGGCAUGCUUUACACAUGCAAGUCGAACGGUAACAGGCCGCAAGGUGCUGACGAGUGGCGCACGGGUGAGUAAUGCAUCGGAACGUGCCCAGUCGUGGGGGAUAACUACUCGAAAGAGUAGCUAAUACCGCAUACGAUCUAUGGAUGAAAGCGGGGGACCGUAAGGCCUCGCGCGAUUGGAGCGGCCGAUGUCAGAUUAGGUAGUUGGUGGGGUAAAGGCUCACCAAGCCAACGAUCUGUAGCUGGUCUGAGAGGACGACCAGCCACACUGGGACUGAGACACGGCCAAGACUCCUACGGGAGGCAGCAGUGGGGAAUUUUGGACAAUGGGCGCAAGCCUGAUCCAGCAAUGCCGCGUGCAGGAAGAAGGCCUUCGGGUUGUAAACUGCUUUUGUACGGAACGAAACGGCUCUGGUUAAUACCCGGGGCUAAUGACGGUACCGUAAGAAUAAGCACCGGCUAACUACGUG